GACGAACGCUGGCGGCGUGCUUAACACAUGCAAGUCGAACGGAAAGGCCCUGCUUUUGUGGGGUGCUCGAGUGGCGAACGGGUGAGUAACACGUGAGUAACCUGCCCUUGACUUUGGGAUAACUUCAGGAAACUGGGGCUAAUACCGGAUAGGAGCUCCUGCUGCAUGGUGGGGGUUGGAAAGUUUCGGCGGUUGGGGAUGGACUCGCGGCUUAUCAGCUUGUUGGUGGGGUAGUGGCUUACCAAGGCUUUGACGGGUAGCCGGCCUGAGAGGGUGACCGGCCACAUUGGGACUGAGAUACGGCCCAGACUCCUACGGGAGGCAGAAGUGGGGAAUCUUGCACAAUGGGCGGAAGCCUGAUGCAGCAACGCCGCGUGCGGGAUGACGGCCUUCGGGUUGUAAACCGCUUUCGCCUGUGACGAAGCGUGAGUGACGGUAAUGGGUAAAGAAGCACCGGCUAACUACGUG
rnacentral:rRNA from 1 species